CCCCAGUUGUUGCCACCACGAGCCAACUGCCCCUUGUAGAUGUCCCACCACAUUCCCUCGGGAGGGUCAUGAAAUUCUUGCCCUGGGCUCAGAUGAAGCGGAAUUAGCCUCUGGACCCCUCCUGGUGCAAGCGACAUGGCCCUGGGUGAGCUCUGGCAUGUCUGCAAGCUUCAGUUGCUUCAUCCAUAAAGUGCAGAAAUCAGAUCAAUGCCAGGAAGAGAGACCCUGCUGCCACUCCUGAUGUGUGUGCAUCCUCUGCAAGCAAGGGCCAGCGUAGGCACGUUGACAUUACAUUUCAUGGUCUGAAUAAAGC